GGAGCGGGAAGGGAGUCUGACUGAGAAAUGUGUUGGCUUGCUGGCCAGGAGUUACCCAUCUUCCCCAGACAGGGUAGUGAGGAAAUACUUUCUCCAGGAUCACUCUAUCCUCACUGCAAAGGUGAUGUUCUGCUGGAGACAGAGGCAUGAAAAGAAGAUGGUGGAGCAAGUGUAGCUCUUAAAUGAGGCAUGAAUUGGCAAGCAUCUGAGAAUGAGGAAAGAUCUAGAGUACAGGGUAGCUGAAGCUACCAACUAGAAUAUGGAACACAUUAUUAAAAACAGCAGUCUGUACCAGAGGACUUGGGGGCAACAAAGAAUCCACUUCUCAUAAAAAGAAAAAAAAAGGAUGAUGCUGAGAAGUAUGAAGUGAGGAAUCAUACUUCAGUACGUAGGGAAAUAGAUCAUCAUUUAUGUUCCAGGAAUACGAAGAGGUUGGAACGGAGAUCAGGGACAUUUUGCGC